rnacentral:rRNA from 1 species
UACGUAGGGACCGAGCGUUGUCCGGAAUCAUUGGGCGUAAAGAGCGUGUAGGCGGCCACUUAAGUCCUGCGUGAAAUCUUGCGGCUCAACCGCAAGCGGUCGUGGGAAACUGGGUGGCUAGAGUGCGGGAGAGGAGAGUGGAAUUCCUGGUGUAGCGGUGGAAUGCGCAGAUAUCAGGAAGAACACCCGUGGCGAAGGCGGCUCUCUGGAACGCAACUGACGCUGAGACGCGAAGGCGUGGGGAGCAAACAGG